CACGUGAGAAUUUACCUUUAGGAGGGGGAUAACAAUUGGAAACGAAUGCUAAUACCCCAUAUGCUUUCGAGUGAAAUGGAUUUAUAUUUAUUCGCCUAGAGAGAAGCUCGCGGCUGAUUAGCUUGUUGGUAAGGUAAGAGCUUACCAAGGCGACGAUCAGUAUCUGGUUUGAGAGGACGAUCAGACACACUGGAACUGAGACACGGUCCAGACUCCUACGGGAGGCAGCAGUGGGGAAUUUUCCGCAAUGGGCGAAAGCCUGAUGCAGCCAUGCCGCGUGUGUGAAGAAGGCCUUAGGGU
rnacentral:rRNA from 1 species